CCUUCGAUAGCUCAGUUGGUAGAGCGGAGGACUGUAGUGGCAGCUCGCUGGUAUCCUUAGGUCGCUGGUUCGAAUCCGGCUCGAAGGA
rnacentral:tRNA from 1 species